rnacentral:rRNA from 1 species
UACGUAGGGGUCUAGCGUUGUCCGGAAUCAUUGGGCGUAAAGCGCGUGUAGGCGGCCCGGUAAGUCCGCUGUGAAAGUCGGGGGCUCAACCCUCGGAUGCCGGUGGAUACUGUCGGGCUAGAGUACGGAAGAGGCGAGUGGAAUUCCUGGUGUAGCGGUGAAAUGCGCAGAUAUCAGGAGGAACACCAAUUGCGAAGGCAGCUCGCUGGGACGUUACUGACGCUGAGACGCGAAAGCGUGGGGAGCAAACAGG